UACGGAGGGUGCUAGCGUUGUUCGGAAUCACUGGGCGUAAAGGGCGUGUAGGCGGUCUGUUAAGUCUGAUGUGAAAUCCCCUCGCUCAACGAGGGAACUGCGUCGGAUACUGACAGACUCGAGUACCGGAGAGGAAGGUGGAAUUCCCGGUGUAGUGGUGAAAUGCGUAGAUAUCGGGAGGAACACCAGUGGCGAAGGCGGCUUCCUGGCCUGCUCUUGACGCUGAGGCGCGAAAGCUAGGGUAGCAAACGGG
rnacentral:rRNA from 1 species